UGGUGGAGUGAUUUGUCUGGUUAAUUCCGUUAACGAACGAGACCUCGACCUGCUAAAUAGUUCGGGGAAUGCUUGCAUUCCUACUAACUUCUUAGAGGGACUAUCGGUGUGCAUCCGAUGGAAGUUCGAGGCAAUAACA
rnacentral:rRNA from 1 species